rnacentral:rRNA from 1 species
CCUACGUGAGGCAGCAGUAGGGAAUCUUGCUCAAUGGGGGAAAGCCUGAAGGAGCAACGCCGCGUGCAGGAUGAAGGCUUUCGGGUUGUAAACUCCUUUUGUUAGAGAAAAAAAUGACGGUAACUUAUGAAUAAGCAUCGGCUAACUACGUGCCAGCAGCCGCGGUCAUACGUAGGAUGAGAGCUUUACUCGGAAUCACUGGGCGUAAAGAGCUGGAAGUCGGGCUAGCAAUAUAGCUGUAAAAUUCUAGGGGUAACACAUAGAACUGCAUUUGAAAAUGUUAUUCUAGAGAAUGGUAGAGGUAAGUGGAAUUCGUGGUGUAGGAGUAAAAUCCGUAGAGAUCAAAAGGAACACUCAUAGCGAAGGCGACCUGCUAGAACAGUUCUGACACUGAUGCGCGAAAGCGUGGGGAGCAAACAGGAUUAGAUACCCGGGUAGUC